AACUUUAAUUGAGCAAACAUUCAAUCUUCUGCAUGGGAAAACAAACUUUAAUUGAGCAAACAUUCAAUCUUCUGCAUGGGAAAACAAACUUUAAUUGAGCAAACAUUCAAUCUUCUGCAUGGGAAAACAAACUUUAAUUGAGCAAACAUUCAAUCUUCUGCAUGGGAAAACAAACUUUAAUUGAGCAAACAUUCAAUCUUCUGCAUGGGAAAACAAACUUUAAUUGAGCAAACAUUCAAUCUUCUGCAUGGGAAAACAAACUUUAAUUGAGCAAACAUUCAAUCUUCUGCAUGGGAAAACAAACUUUAAUUGAGCAAACAUUCAAUCUUCUGCAUGGGAAAACAAACUUUAAUUGAGCAAACAUUCAAUCUUCUGCAUGGGAAAACAAACUUUAAUUGAGCAAACAUUCAAUCUUCUGCUUGAGACAAGAAAUACGGUGAAUACAUGACUCUAGUACCACCUAACCCAAAAUGCUGGAAUUGAUGGAUAUGCUUUGUUACAGAAUUUCUUUUAAAGUGAUGGAUGCCUCAAUGACUGUAGAGUGAAAAUGCAUUAUGAACUCUUUGUUCAUGUAGCAAAUGCAAGUGUGCUUUGUGAAUUGAUAAGUGAAAUUAUUUUCUUUUCAUUAUUUCAAAAAGGGUGGUAUAGAUGAGUGCAAUGGUCCCAAAUUCGGGUUGAUGACCCAAAAUGAUGGAUUUAAAUGUGAAAGCUAGUUGUUGCCUUAAAUGAAAAUUUAUGAGUUUUCACUCAUACUGUAAAGCAUGAUUAAUAUCUAUUGAUGACUCUAGUCCCUUUGUAACUGUAAUAUGAAGUGAUUUUGCUGAUGCAAAAUGGAGUGAGUGUUUUUGUUGUGUUAGCCUACUGAUAGGGAGGGGUUUCAUAGGAAGCCUCUAAGGAAGAAACCAAUUACUGAACCAAAGUACAUUUGCAAAUGCAACAGAAACAAACUCUUUGGAGUAUAAACUAUUUUUUACAGCAUCUGGCAUUAUUAUGCAGAUGGCUUAUGUAUUUAUACGGAUGCAUGCAUCGGGAUCAAUGGAGGAAACCAUAACAAGGUUAAGGACCUUUUCAAUGAAUACUUAAUUUGGAGGAUUCAAUAGUUAAAUUUUUUCUUAGUGUAUGUUUUCAUUGGCUUUAUACUAGUUCUUACCUCUUAUGAAUCCUUGUUUUUGGCUUCCUGUCAUAGUUUUUGGCUUACCCUAGUCUUUUUAGUAUCAUUUUUCCAAUUUGCUUGAAGCAUUUUUUAAAUCCAAUGGAACAAAUGGUGUUUGUAUUUACAGCUUUUGAGUAUCAUUUUACCAAUUUGCGUGAAGCAUUUUUAAAAUUCAAUGAAACAAAUGGUUUGUAUUACAACCAUUUUCUGUUUGUCUCCAAAUAUUGGCAAUGUCCAUAGGCAUGUGACACAUACCAUUCAUCACUUUGAAUCCAUUUGUAGUAUCCUUCACUAAAAGUUUCCUCAUUUAAAGUGAGCUCCCAUUUUAGAGUGUAACAGUAAGAUGUUACCUUUUGAUGUAAAACGUGACAGUUAAUAUUUGAAAGGAGUUGCUUCUUAAUUUUCUUGAUUUCCACGCCGACAACUCUCUGCACAAAAUUUCUAUCAGUUUUUUUCCUCAGACAUUCUCCAUUUCAUUAUGAUUGACAAUUUGAUUUUCAGGAUAGUAUCUUCCUUUCUGCUUAUCUACUAGGUUAUAUAUGAUGAGUUAUUUUAGAAAUUUAUGUAAUGAUCCGGACAUGAGGAAGUAUCGUUGGGAGGUGUAUAUGCUUUAGAGGAAAAUGGAAGGCGUGGUUGGAUUUAUUUGUAGCUAUGUCUUUUCCCUAAUAAUACUAGUAAUUUGUCAAUAAUUAAUAUACUAAAUGCGUAAUUUUAGUUUAAAUGUUUUAUGCACAUUUCCUUGGGAGACAUAUGGGUUGCACACAUUGACCUUACUAGCAUGGUGCAUUUCUCAGUUCAGAGUUGCUAAAACAUUGAUGAAGAGUUGGAGAUGAAUAAGCAUAUCACUUCGUGAAGGCAUUAUCUCAGCAGUGUUAGAAAUAUUAUAAAAGUAGAAUGAGAUUAUGCCUGGUGAAGAAAGAGAAUGGACAAAAUUCAAAUAUCACAGUAAGAUGUUAAAAUUGAUUCUUGAGAAGAUUCAGGUAAAAUUCAAACUCAACUCCAGAGAACUCAAUGAUUGAAUGAGUUCCGGUAGUGAUGAGUAAAAUGUAUACAUGUUAGACAGUUUUUACAGAGAGGAGAUAAAUUUGUUGAAAUGUGUGUUUCAUUCAUAAGACCAUUGGUUUCAUUGUAUGAGCCCUUAUAAUAAGGAGAAUAUUCCAACAACUUAUCACAUAAAACUAAAUGGAAAAAAAAAAAAACUAAUAUGUAAAUACCAUAAAAAUAGGAACAUGUAAAGUCCUUAAAGCACAUUCUUGUCCUCAAGAAUGAACAUUCCCAAGUACCAUAUAAAGUUUUCCAUUUGAGUAGAACAAUAGGAACAUGAACACUUUCCAUGUUGACACAAGCUGAAAUUGUACAAAUGGUAUAGUGGAGUGCAAUUUAGGCUCUGCAACAUUUCCAAGAUCAAACCUCAAAUUUUGUAAGGACUUCAAUAGAAGAAAUUGUCCUCUAAAGAUCACUUAUGCAAAAUAGCCAUUGUUUCAACAAGUUUGAAAAAUGACUGAAGACUAUACUGUGACAGAUGGUCAACAUCAAAAUAUGAGUUCUGGCAUAGUUGCAAAGUUGUAUAAAUUGAAUUAAUUAAAUUCAAUUUAAGCACUUGGAGCAAGCUGAGAAUAUUUGAAUUAGGAGGGAAUGUAGUAUGGAUUCAAAUCACUAGUAACUAUACUUGGCAUCCCUUGUAGCUUGGAUUUGUGAUUCAUGAAAAUUUGGAUUGCAACCAUACUGAUACCAGGAAGUGCUUGAAAACACUAUUUGAGAUCCCAAAAUACAACAGCAACAAAUCAUGGGUGCAGUAGUUGAACAACCUUUGGUUCAGUAAUUUAAAACCACUUCCUUUUGUUAAUUCUCGUUCCUCGUACUCCAAGGUUUAUAGGAUAUGGGUAGAGGUCUGAAAUGGGGCAGGUUUAAGAUUGGUGUGCACAUAUUCAUGUAGGCGUUUAAGGUUUCAUGUACUUUGCUUAGGUUAGCAACAUGUUCUAUGUAUUCAUGUUUAGAAAAAUAUUCAGGGGCGUUGCAUGCUCCAAUCCAGUUACGAAGGCGAUGAUUCGGUGCAUUCUCUAGGUAAUUGUAGUUUAUGGACUGUGGUUUCGUUGCUUUAAAAAUACCAUUUGACUGCUCAAAAUCAUUCAUGCUCUCAAAAUGGAUCGUGGUUGCUCCAAGAGCACUCUCUCACUGCAAAUUAACUUCACCCUCUUUUUGCCACCUUUUUAACUUUCUUAGACCUCUCAUAAACCCUCCAUAUUUUUUUCCCAUCAAUAUAAGAUUUGUUAUGCUCUAUAAACUGUAAAUAUAAAUAUGCACAAUUGAUAUAUGUCUGCAUAGAUGUGAUUAUGAUAGUUGUUCUAUGAUGAGAGAUUUUGUUAUAAUAAGCUUAUUUGACAAUUGAUCAAUUAUA